UAGGGAAUAUUGGGCAAUGGCCGAGAGGCUGACCCAGCCAUGCCGCGUGCCGGAUGAAGGCCUUCUGGGUCGUAAACGGCUUUUGCCCGGGAAGAAUAAGGACCGUGCGCGGUCCGACGACGGUACCGGGUGAAUAAGCACCGGCUAACUCCGUGCCAGCAGCCGCGGUAAUACGGAGGGUGCAAGCGUUGUCCGGAUUUAUUGGGUUUAAAGGGUGCGUAGGCGGUUCGUUAAGUCCGGGGUGAAAGCCCACUGCUCAACAGUGGAACUGCCCCGGAAACUGGCGGACUUGAGUACAGACGAGGUUGGCGGAAUGGAAGGUGUAGCGGUGAAAUGCAUAGAUACCUUCCAGAACCCCGAUUGCGAAGGCAGCUGACUAGGCUGUAACUGACGCUGAGGCACGAAAGCGUGGGGAGCGAACAG
rnacentral:rRNA from 1 species